CUCCAGAAGAAGCAGUUGUCCCCCAAA
rnacentral:piRNA from 1 species